rnacentral:rRNA from 1 species
UACGUAGGGGGCGAGCGUUGUCCGGAUUUAUUGGGCGUAAAGAGCGUGUAGGCGGCCAGACAGGUCCGUUGUGAAAACUCGAGGCUCAACCUCGAGACGCCGAUGGAAACCGUCUGGCUAGAGUCCGGAAGAGGAGAGUGGAAUUCCUGGUGUAGCGGUGAAAUGCGCAGAUAUCAGGAAGAACACCCGUGGCUAAGGCGGCUCUCUAGUACGGUACUGACGCUGAGACGCGAAAGCGUGGGGAGCGAACAGG